CGAUCUUCUUCUCCGGAGUUCUUUCCACGAUCCACCGAACAAGAUCAAGUUUAGUUUACAUCUCAAAAAUAAGAUUCAGCAUCUUGAGAAAGACCUUUCCCUUUCAAAUCAAGAUGAAGAAAGACAGAGAUCAUCUUUCACGGCAUCAACAACUACUUCAAGGAAUUUUCAACUUGAGAGGCCCUCAAGUAUGACAGAUCCUGUCAACUUUAACUCCCAGGCUUACAUAAGAAAUGAACCAGGAGAUACUAUGACUUGGAGCUCACCUACUCCAUCCUAUUAUGCAAACCAAUUUGGGACUACAUCUGCAGACAGACAAGUAUUUACUCCAAAGCUUCUUGACAUUAAUUACAUUGAAGGAUCUGGAGAUAAAAAAUG